GAGGGUAUAGCUCAGUGGUAGAAUACGUGCUGAGCGUGCACGAGGUCCUGGGUUCAAUCCCCAGUACUUCCA
rnacentral:tRNA from 1 species